rnacentral:rRNA from 1 species
AUUGAACGCUGGCGGCAUGCCUUACACAUGCAAGUCGAACGGCAGCACGGGUGCUUGCACCUGGUGGCGAGUGGCGAACGGGUGAGUAAUACAUCGGAACGUACCUUAUCGUGGGGGAUAACGCAGCGAAAGCUGUGCUAAUACCGCAUCCGCCCUGAGGGGGAAAGCGGGGGAUCGCAAGACCUCGCGCGAUUAGAGAGGCCGAUGCCUGAUUAGCUAGUUGGUGGGGUAAAAGCCCACCAAGGCGACGAUCAGUAGCUGGUCUGAGAGGACGAUCAGCCACACUGGGACUGAGACACGGCCCAGACUCCUACGGGAGGCAGCAGUGGGGAAUUUUGGACAAUGGGGGCAACCCUGAUCCAGCAAUGCCGCGUGAGUGAAGAAGGCCUUCGGUUUGUAAAGCUCUUUUGUCAGGGAAGAAACACCGGCUCUAACACAGUCCGGGAAUGACGGUACCUGAAGAAUAAGCACCGGCUAACUACGUGCCAGCAGCCGCCGUAA